ensembl:lncRNA
CAGGAGUGGGGGUAGAAGUUGUACUCCCCAGGCAGGAUCCAGGAGCGGUGGUAGAAGUUGUACUCCCCAGGUAGGAUCCAGGAGCGGUGGUACUCCUCAGGUAGGAUCCAGGAGUGGGGGUAGAAGUUGUACUCCCCAGGCAGGAUGCAGGAGUGGGGGUAGAGGUUGUACUCCCCAAGCAGGAUGCAGGAGUGGGGGUAGAAGUUGUACUCCCCAGGCAGGAUCCAGGAGCGGGGGUAGAAGUUGUACUCCUCAGGCAGGAUCCAGGAGCGGGGGUAGAAGUUGUACUCCUCAGGUAGGAUCCAGGAGCGGUGGUACUCCCCAGGUAGGAUCCAGGAGCGGUGGUACUCCCCAGGUAGGCUCCAGGAGCGGUGGUAGAAGUUGUACUCCUCAGGUAGGAUCCAGGAGCGGUGGUACUCCUCAGGUAGGAUCCAGGAGCGGUGGUACUCCCCAGGUAGGAUCCAGGAGCGGGGGUAGAAGUUGUACUCCUCAGGUAGGAUUCAGGAGCGGUGGUAGAAGUUGUACUCCUCAGGUAGGAUUCAGGAGCGGUGGUACUCCCUAGGUAGGAUCCAGGAGCGGGGGUAGAAUUUGUACUCCUCAGGGAACAGCUCCUGCAUGGUCCUCACCG